GACGAACGCUGGCGGCGUGCUUAACACAUGCAAGUCGAACGUGAUUUUUGUGGAAAUUCUUUCGGGAAUGGAAAUGAAAUGAAAGUGGCGAACGGGUGAGUAACACGUGAGCAACCUACCUUACACAGGGGGAUAGCCGUUGGAAACGACGAUUAAUACCGCAUGAGACCACAGAAUCGCAUGAUAUAGGGGUCAAAGAUUUAUCGGUGUAAGAAGGGCUCGCGUCUGAUUAGCUAGUUGGAAGGGUAAAGGCCUACCAAGGCGACGAUCAGUAGCCGGUCUGAGAGGAUGAACGGCCACAUUGGAACUGAGACACGGUCCAAACUCCUACGGGAGGCAGCAGUGGGGAAUAUUGCACAAUGGGGGGAACCCUGAUGCAGCGACGCCGCGUGAGCGAAGAAGGUUUUCGAAUCGUAAAGCUCUGUCCUAUGAGAAGAUAAUGACGGUAUCAUAGGAGGAAGCCCCGGCUAAAUACGUGCCGGCAGCCGCGGUAAUACGUAUGGGGCGAGCGUUGUCCGGAAUUAUUGGGCGUAAAGGGUACGUAGGCGGUUUUUUAAGUCAGGUGUGAAAGCGUGAGGCUUAACCUCAUUAAGCACUUGAAACUGGAAGACUUGAGUGAAGGAGAGGAAAGUGGAAUUCCUAGUGUAGCGGUGAAAUGCGUAGAUAUUAGGAGGAGUACCGGUGGCGAAGGCGACUUUCUGGACUUUUACUGACGCUCAGGUACGAAAGCGUGGGGAGCAAACAGG
rnacentral:rRNA from 1 species